rnacentral:pre_miRNA from 1 species
CACCUUGAGCAGCUGAAGCUGCCAGCAUGAUCUGAUCUUUGCUUCUUUCGUUUUUGCUUAUGACCCCCUGAAUAAGUGGUUGGGAAAUAUUUGUGGGCUCCUAGCUGAUUAAGAUUCAGAUCGUGCUGCGCAGUUUCAUCUGCUAAUCGC